rnacentral:rRNA from 1 species
CCUACGGGUGACUGCAGUGGGGAAUAUUGCACAAUGUGGGAAACCCUGAUGCAGCGACGCCGCGUGAGUGAAGAAGUAUUUCGGUAUGUAAAGCCCUAUCAGCAGGGAAGAAAAUGACGGUACCUGUUUAACAAGCACCGGCUAAAUACGAGCCAGCAGCCGCGGUAAUACGUAGGGGGCAAGCGUUAUCCGGAUUUAAUGGGUGUAAAGGGAGCGUAGACGGCAGCGCAAGUCUGAAGUGAAAUGCCGGGGCUUAAACCCGGAACUGCUUUGGAAACUGUGCAGCUAGAGUGCAGGAGAGGUAAGUGGAAUUCCUAGUGUAGCGGGGAAAUGCGUAGAUAUGAGGAGGAACACCAGUGGCGAAGGCGGCUUACUGGACUGUAACUGACGUUGAGGCUCGAAAGCGUGGGGAGCAAACAGGAUUAGAUACCCUAGUAGUC